rnacentral:rRNA from 1 species
AGAGUUUGAUCCUGGCUCAGGACGAACGCUGGCGGCGCGCCUAACACAUGCAAGUCGAACGAGCGAGAGAGAGCUUGCUUUCUCGAGCGAGUGGCGAACGGGUGAGUAACGCGUGAGGAACCUGCCUCAAAGAGGGGGACAACAGUUGGAAACGACUGCUAAUACCGCAUAAGCCCACGGUGCCGCAUGGCACAGAGGGAAAAGGAGCAAUCCGCUUUGAGAUGGCCUCGCGUCCGAUUAGCUAGUUGGUGAGGUAACGGCCCACCAAGGCGACGAUCGGUAGCCGGACUGAGAGGUUGAACGGCCACAUUGGGACUGAGACACGGCCCAGACUCCUACGGGAGGCAGCAGUGGGGAAUAUUGCACAAUGGGGGAAACCCUGAUGCAGCGACGCCGCGUGGAGGAAGAAGGUCUUCGGAUUGUAAACUCCUGUUGUUGGGGAAGAUAAUGACGGUACCCAACAAGGAAGUGACGGCUAACUACGUGCCAGCAGCCGCGGUAAAACGUAGGUCACAAGCGUUGUCCGGAAUUACUGGGUGUAAAGGGAGCGCAGGCGGGAAGACAAGUUGGAAGUGAAAUCUAUGGGCUCAACCCAUAAACUGCUUUCAAAACUGUUUUUCUUGAGUAGUGCAGAGGUAGGCGGAAUUCCCGGUGUAGCGGUGGAAUGCGUAGAUAUCGGGAGGAACACCAGUGGCGAAGGCGGCCUACUGGGCACCAACUGACGCUGAGGCUCGAAAGUGUGGGUAGCAAACAGGAUUAGAUACCCUGGUAGUCCACACCGUAAACGAUGAUUACUAGGUGUUGGAGGAUUGACCCCUUCAGUGCCGCAGUUAACACAAUAAGUAAUCCACCUGGGGAGUACGACCGCAAGGUUGAAACUCAAAGGAAUUGACGGGGGCCCGCACAAGCAGUGGAGUAU